rnacentral:rRNA from 1 species
UUUUUAAGGGUGAUCGCGUCGGAAUCGAGCCGUCUUUCAAAUGUUAAUUCAUGUCAAAGUGGCUUAAAAUUCAUCCAUCCGGUACGAUUAAAGCGUAUUUAAGAUCAAUGUUGAUUAAGAACGCGCGAUGACGUACCAUCUCAUGUAGUACGUUUGACCUGGCGUCGUCAGGAUCAUUCGUAUACGAUACUCAAACUUUUGACCUCAAAU